rnacentral:rRNA from 1 species
GGAUGCGAUCAUACCAGCACUAAAGCACCGGAUCCCAUCAGAACUCCGAAGUUAAGCGUGCUUGGGCGAGAGUAGUACUAGGAUGGGUGACCUCCUGGGUAGUCCUCGUGUUACAUUCC